rnacentral:rRNA from 1 species
UACGAAGGGGGCUAGCGUUGCUCGGAAUCACUGGGCGUAAAGGGUGCGUAGGCGGGUCUUUUAAGUCAGGGGUGAAAUCCUGGAGCUCAACUCCAGAACUGCCUUUGAUACUGAAGAUCUUGAGUUCGGGAGAGGUGAGUGGAACUGCGAGUGUAGAGGUGAAAUUCGUAGAUAUUCGCAAGAACACCAGUGGCGAAGGCGGCUCACUGGCCCGAUACUGACGCUGAGGUGCGAAAGCGUGGGGAGCAACAGGG